ensembl:lncRNA
UAUAUAUAUAUAUGUAUGUAUGUAUAUGAAGUAUUACAGGUUCAAGUUUAUCUUAUGUGAAAACACAUUUCUCCCUCAUUAUUCCUUCAGCAACUCUUCACCUCCCGCUUUGCCUCCUUCUUAAAUCUCCUUCUAACCCUAACCCUUAAAUACCCUUCCCUCCUGUCCCUAAUCCUAACCCUCCCGUCCCCUGGUAGAGCGUUGGGACAUUGCUGUAAUACAGAUGUCCACACAGGAGUCCAAUCAUACUGGCCAAAACACUAUGUACCAACAGCAUGUUGUGAUGACGUGAUAUUUGGGCCAAAAUAGGUGAGUACACACAGUUCUCAUUAGAAUCCCAAGGUGAAGCCAGGGGCUGGACAGCAUGUCCUGACGGACAGAUGCGAACGUAUUGCGUUCACUAACAAGACUAACAAGGAUGUACAGAGCGGUUUUGAAUAAUGUCAUGUGUACUAACACUAGAAUUAACCCUAACCUCUACACUUUACAGUGCAUGAUAUACAAAAUGAGAUUUACCCAGAAAACCAACAAAGACAACAUAUUACACCAACAAACAAAAAAACAUGGUGUCAAUUAGUUCUAGAAUGAGUUGAGUUGUGUUGGUUGUGAGGUAGUUACGACCAAUUAGUUCUAGAAUGAGUUGAGUUGUGUUGGUUGUGAGGUAGUUAAGACCAAUUAGUUCUAGAAUGAGUUGAGUUGUGUUGGUUGUGAGGUAGUUAAGACCAAUUAGUUCUAGAAUGAGUUGAGUUGUGUUGGUUGGUUGUGAGGUAGUUAAGACCAAUUAGUUCUAGAAUGAGUUGAGUUGUGUUGGUUGGUUGUGAGGUAGUUAAGACCAAUUAGUUCUAGAAUGAGUUGAGUUGUGUUGGUUGGUUGUGAGGUAGUUAAGACCAAUUAGUUCUAUAAUGAGUUGAGUUGUGUUGGUUGUGAGGUAGUUACGACCAAUUAGUUCUAGAAUGAGUCGAGUUGUGUUGGUUGUGAGGUAGUUACGACCAAUUAGUUCUAGAAUGAGUUGAGUUGUGUUGGUUGUGA